rfam:Danio rerio chromosome 4, GRCz11 reference primary assembly.
GUAUUCGUGGCCGAGAGGUUACGGCGAUGGACUAGAAAUCCAUUGCGGUCUCCCCGCGCAGGUUCGUAUUCUGCCGACUACG